AAGACACCCUGCCGCAUUUGCCCGUGUCCGCCGCCGCCGACCGCAACCAGCGCCUCCACGCGCGGGCGGCUCGCGCUCGUGCCUCCCUGCCGCCCCGCGCAGCCGCCCACCGGAGCUCCGCUACCGGACCAACGCGCCGCCAUGCCCUCCUCUCCUUCUUCCUUCCCCUCCCCCUUGUUCUAUUUCUCACAUCCCCCCCUCGCUCUCUCCUUCGCAGGAAGCGGAAGCCAUGGCCCUGGACCUCCAUGUCAGACCGCCGCCCCGCGCUGGCCGGCCAUCGGAGCGCCGCCGCCGGACCAACGCGCCGCCCUGCCCUCCUCUCCUUCUUCCCUCCCUUCCUCUGGUUCUAUUUCUCACAUCCCUCUCUCUCUCCCCCCCUUCACAGGAAGCGGAAGCCAUGGUCGUUGGAUCUCCAUGCCGGACCGCCACCCCACGCCGGCCGGCCACCGGAGCGCCGCCUCCGGAGCAACGCGGGUUGCCGCGCUGGACCGCAAGCGGAUGCACUGAUUGUGCUCGACGGAGAUGGGCCCUGUGUGUGCCCUGCAGCCUGGACGAAACUCCGGCGAGGCCAUGAGCUCCCGAGCCCCAACCCGGGUGUAGGAGCGUACGGGAGCACCGUCGUGGAUCCUGCGCGUCCUAGGUCCGCCGAGGCCACGGGCUCCCAAGUCGGGCAUAGGUGCGUACUGGAGCAACGCCCGCCUGGGCGAGGUCCUCCUGCUUCUGGAGGAGGCGAACAAGCCGAGCCAAGCCAUGAGGCGCCCGUGGCCAACAUAGUCUAUUAAACCUUCGAUAUGCUGGAGGGUGAUGAGGUGACAUGGAGCUAAACAUAGAUUGAAGAUUCUGUCAUGGGUUCCUCAGAGAAGAUAGAACAAAUGCGUAUGGAGAUCCAGCUGUUGAAGAUGCCGAGGGACAAGAACAUUCAGGAGUUGUUCGCCUAAUGGGUUGGUUCUGUAGGAAGCACAAGAAAGUGGGUAUGAAAGCUAUGAGACGAUGGCCAAUACAGAUAUUGACAGGGCUGGAAUAUCAUUAGAGUCCGGCGCUAACGAAUAUACAUAGCGACUUAAAGUGUGACAAUAUAUUCAUAAAUAGUCCUGAUGGAACAGUGAAGAUCGGCGACUAUAUGGUCUGGCGACAUUAUUGCAUCAAUGGAAAAAGCAAAGUGUCAAAGGCGCAUUAGACUUUACAGCACCAGAACGCUUCACUGGCAAUACAAUGAGUUGCUUGGGUAUUCCAAUCCCCUUGCUGAACCCUGUGCUAUUCGCAGCCUCUUCUGUCAAUCCAGCAGCACACCGCUGCCCUUCGCAUCCUCCCUGCAUCACUGCAACUGGGCCGUGCUCACAUCGUCUGCGGUCACAUGCGCAAUCUUUGCGCUCGACGCUGCCUCCACCGAGAUACAUUGCAAGGGUGCCUGAAACGCCCACUGCUGGGUACAUGCAUACAACAAUUAUGCCAUGUCUUCCCUAUUCGAUCGGUCGCACAUAUUUGUUUGUGCCAUUGCCGAUCAUGUACUUCUUUCUGUGCUUGGAAGCAUAGUCUCAUCGUAUCCCCUAGAUCUGUAUAAGUAUAUUUAGCUCACAUACACUUGGCAUUUGUUCUUCAAAAGGCGAUGUCCUCGAUGCUGGACUCCUGGUAACAGUUUAUUACAUGUUAUUUCUUUUUUUGGUGAGUCUUUUCUUGAGAUUUAGGAUUAUGGAGUUAACGGGUGUUACUUUUGACCUGCUAAUACAGCUGCGUUAAACUUUUUGCUCUUCGAAAGCAACUAUGUAAGUCUGACGCUAACAUAAUGUUUACUGCUAAAAUACUUCAGUAGGUAUAACUUAGAGUCAGGAACACAAGUAGAAUUUCAUAGAAAUCUGUCUAGCUCCUGUAGAUGAAAGACUUCCUGCAAGUGAGCUCUUGAAUAACUCUUACCUCCAGGAAGAUGAGGUCUAUUCCAGCGCCUUCAAUUUCAGUCUCUCUGGUCUCAAGUGUGACUGAAGAUGGGUGGCAAUCUGCAAGUUUCGUGCUUUGGAAGGGUGAAUUCUUACUGAAAAACCAUAUGUUUCUUACCGACCAUAUUAAUUUAUUGCUAAGGUUUCCUCAUACCACUGGCUGUUUAAAGAAUGCUGAGUUGUCAAGCGAGGUGCUGCAGUGGCUGGCGUUGCCGAGCAUGGGACGACGUCUCUAGGCUCCUGCCUGAGGCAAGCCUCUCCGGCCUCCUCGGAUGCCCUCUAGGAACUGGCACUGCGUAUGAUGGUCUCCUCACCUAGCACCUAGGUUGACCUAGCCACCGCCAUCGAAGCGGAGAGUUGACAAUAUAUGUAUGAUUGUUGGACGUGUCAGUCCUGCCAUUGACAUGUUCAAAACUAUGAAUUGGGUGAUUACAAAUAUGCUUUGAUCAAUGAAAUGAAAGGAUGUUCUGUUA